CCAAUAGCGUAUAUUAAAGUUGCUGCAGUUAAAAAGCUCGUAGUUGAAUUUCGGGACCAUCAUGUCGGUCGUGCCUCGGUACGUACUGGUAUUGUUGGUUUCUCCCUUUUGACGAACCAUGAUGUCAUUUAUUUGGUGUUGUGGGGAAUCAGGACUGUUACUUUGAAAAAAUUAGAGUGUUUAAAGCAGGCUCACGCUUGAAUACAUUAGCAUGGAAUAAUGAAAUAGGACGUUUGAUUCUAUUUUGUUGGUUUCUAGGAUCGACGUAAUGAUUAAUAGGGAUAGUUGGGGGCAUUAGUAUUCAAUUGUCAGAGGUGAAAUUCUUGGAUUUAUUGAAGACUAACUACUGCGAAAGCAUUUGCCAAGGAUGUUUUCAUUAAUCAAGAACGAAAGUUAGGGGAUCGAAGACGAUCAGAUACCGUCGUAGUCUUAACCAUAAACUAUGCCGACUAGGGAUCGGAUGAUGUUAAUUUUUUAAUGACUCAUUCGGCGCCUUACG
rnacentral:rRNA from 1 species